AACGAACGCUGGCGGCAGGCCUAACACAUGCAAGUCGAGCGCGCCCUUCGGGGUGAGCGGCGGACGGGUGAGUAACGCGUGGGAACGUGCCCUUUUCUACGGAAUAGCCUCGGGAAACUGAGAGUAAUACCGUAUACGCCCUUUAGGGGAAAGAUUUAUCGGAAAAGGAUCGGCCCGCGUUGGAUUAGGUAGUUGGUGGGGUAAUGGCCUACCAAGCCGACGAUCCAUAGCUGGUUUGAGAGGAUGAUCAGCCACACUGGGACUGAGACACGGCCCAGACUCCUACGGGAGGCAGCAGUGGGGAAUCCUAGACAAUGGGGGCAACCCUGAUCGAGCCAUGCCGCGUGAGUGAUGAAGGCCUUAGGGUUGUAAAGCUCUUUCAGCUGGGAAGAUAAUGACGGUACCAGCAGAAGAAGCCCCGGCUAACUCCGUG
rnacentral:rRNA from 1 species